GAUGAACGCUGGCGGCGUGCCUAAUACAUGCAAGUCGAACGGGGAGUAGCAAUACUCUUGGUGGCGAACGGGUGAGUAACGCGUUGGUACCUGCCCCGAAGCGGGGGAUAACGGACCGAAAGGUCCGCUAAUACCCCAUGUGCUCGGUAACGAGUAAAGGUGAAAACCACUUUGGGAGGGGCCUGCGUCCCAUCAGCUAGUUGGUAAGGUAACGGCUUACCAAGGCGAUGACGGGUAGGGGACCUGAGAGGGUGGCCCCCCACAAUGGAACUGAAACACGGUCCAUACACCUACGGGUGGCAGCAGUAGGGAAUAUUGGUAAUGGGCGCAAGCCUGAACCAGCAACGCCGCGUGUGCGAUGACGGCCUUCGGGUUGUAAAGCACUUUUGACUGGGACGAGGAAGGACGGUACCGGUCGAAUCAGCCUCGGCUAACUACGUG
rnacentral:rRNA from 1 species